GGGGUUGUGGCUCAGUGGUAGAGCACUUGUCUAGCAUGCAUGAAGCACUGGGUUGGAUCCCCAGCACUACA
rnacentral:tRNA from 1 species